GUACGGGGGGGGCAAGCGUUGUUCGGAAUUACUGGGCGUAAAGGGCUCGUAGGCGGCCAACUAAGUCGGACGUGAAAUCCCUCGGCUUAACCGGGGAACUGCGUCUGAUACUGGAUGGCUUGAGUUUGGGAGAGGGAUGCGGAAUUCCAGGUGUAGCGGUGAAAUGCGUAGAUAUCUGGAGGAACACCGGUGGCGAAGGCGGCAGUCCUGGACCAACACUGACGCUGAGGAGCGAAAGCCAGGGGAGCAAACGGGG
rnacentral:rRNA from 1 species